UGUCUGUCAAACCUUCCUGGCCUCAGCAAAGCUGAAUCAAGAAUUUCAGGUCGAUUGGUGGCAGCAAUGACAAUCACUCCACUGUUCCCACUAAAACCAUCCAUUUCUGUCCCUCACUCUUGAAGCCCCUAUCCCAACAAACAUCUCAAUGAAUUCUGACCCUGACAGAGAAAAGAAAGGGACCCCUGCUUCUCCUGCAAUUGCCUUAGCCAGCAAUGUCUUCCCAGUCCCUGGUGGCCCUACUAGGAGAACUCCUUUGGGAAUUCUUGCACCAACUGCAGCAAACUUUUCCGGGGUUUUUAAGAACUCCACAAUCUCUUGAAAAUCCUGCUUUGCUUCAUCAACUCCAGCCACAUCGUUGAAUGUUACUCCAGUGUUGGGUUCUAUCUGGAAUUUGGCUUUGCUCCUGUGGGGGUUGGAAAAUUUUGUUGCACAUAAUCAUGUUAUCUACUGAACAUUUAAUAGUUACUUAAGCUAAUAAUGAAAAGAAAUUCAACUGUUUUACAAUA